AUUGAACGCUGGCGGCAUGCUUAACACAUGCAAGCCGAACGGAAACGAUAGGAGCUUGCUCCUAGGCGUCGAGUGGCGGACGGGUGAGUAAAGCAUAGGAAUCUGCCUAUUAGUGGGGGAUAACACGGGGAAACUCGUGCUAAUACCGCAUAAUCUCUUCAGAGGAAAGCAGGGGAUCUUCGGACCUUGUGCUGAUAGAUGAGCCUAUGUCGGAUUAGCUAGUUGGUGGGGUAAAGGCUUACCAAGGCGACGAUCCGUAGCUGGUUUGAGAGGAUGAUCAGCCACAUCGGGACUGAGACACGGCCCGAACUCCUACGGGAGGCAGCAGUGGGGAAUAUUGGACAAUGGGGGCAACCCUGAUCCAGCAAUGCCGCGUGUGUGAAGAAGGCCUUAGGGUUGUAAAGCACUUUCAGACGCGAGGAAACGGCAAUAACUAAUAAUUAUUGCAGUUGACGUUAACGUCAGAAGAAGCACCGGCUAACUCCGUGCCAGCAGCCGCGGUAAUACGGAGGGUGCGAGCGUUAAUCGGAAUUACUGGGCGUAAAGCGCGCGUAGGCGGUUAUGUAAGUCAGAUGUGAAAGCCCAGGGCUCAACCUUGGAACUGCAUUUGAAACUGCAUAACUUGAGUAUGGUAGAGGUAAGCGGAAUUUCCAGUGUAGCAGUGAAAUGCGUAGAGAUUGGAAGGAAUAUCGAUGGCGAAGGCAGCUUACUGGGCCAAUACUGACGCUGAGGUGCGAAAGCGUGGGUAGCGAACGGG
rnacentral:rRNA from 1 species